rnacentral:rRNA from 1 species
GCAGGCCUAACACAUGCAAGUCGAGCGGAUGAGAAGAGCUUGCUCUUCGAUUCAGCGGCGGACGGGUGAGUAAUGCCUAGGAAUCUGCCUGGUAGUGGGGGACAACGUUUCGAAAGGAACGCUAAUACCGCAUACGUCCUACGGGAGAAAGCAGGGGACCUUCGGGCCUUGCGCUAUCAGAUGAGCCUAGGUCGGAUUAGCUAGUUGGUGAGGUAAUGGCCCACCAAGGCGACGAUCCGUAACUGGUCUGAGAGGAUGAUCAGUCACACUGGAACUGAGACACGGUCCAGACUCCUACGGGAGGCAGCAGUGGGGAAUAUUGGACAAUGGGCGAAAGCCUGAUCCAGCCAUGCCGCGUGUGUGAAGAAGGUCUUCGGAUUGUAAAGCACUUUAAGUUGGGAGGAAGGGCAUUAACCUAAUACGUUAGUGUUUUGACGUUACCGACAGAAUAAGCACCGGCUAACUCUGUGCCAGCAGCCGCGGUAAUACAGAGGGUGCAAGCGUUAAUCGGAAUUACUGGGCGUAAAGCGCGCGUAGGUGGUUUGUUAAGUUGGAUGUGAAAGCCCCGGGCUCAACCUGGGAACUGCAUCCAAAACUGGCAAGCUAGAGUACGGUAGAGGGUGGUGGAAUUUCCUGUGUAGCGGUGAAAUGCGUAGAUAUAGGAGGGAACACCAGUGGCGAAGGCGACCACCUGGACUGAUACUGACACUGAGGUGCGAAAGCGUGGGGAGCAAACAGGAUUAGAUACCCUGGUAGUCCACGCCGUAAACGAUGUCAACUAGCCGUUGGAAUCCUUGAGAUUUUAGUGGCGCAGCUAACGCAUUAAGUUGACCGCCUGGGGAGUACGGCCGCAAGGUUAAAACUCAAAUGAAUUGACGGGGGCCCGCACAAGCGGUGGAGCAUG